AACUUAUUUUCUUAAAUUUAAUCAAUACUCGUUUGAUUGUUAUUUUAUUUAAAUUUAAUAAAAGUUUAAGGUGUUGUAAUUUUUUUUUACUUUGAAUAUCUAUUUAUCUUGAAUUUUACUUGACUAUUUUGUUCUCUCACUUCCACUCUCUCAAUUAUUUUGCAAUUCUUCUUACUUCUCUCUACAAUUUCUGAACACAUGUAAGUUUUUUUUUAU
rnacentral:sRNA from 1 species